AUUGAACGCUGGCGGCAGGCCUAACACAUGCAAGUCGAGCGGAGCGGCGGACGGGUGAGUACUACCUAGGAAUCUGCCUGGUAGUGGGGGAUAACGUACGGAAACGUACGCUAAUACCGCAUACUAUCAGAUGAGCCUAGGUCGGAUUAGCUAGUUGGUGCUGUAAUGGCUUACCAAGUCGACGAUCCGUAACUGGUCUGAGAGGAUGAUCAGUCACACUGGAACGGAGACACGGUCCAGACUCCUACGGGAGGCAGCAGUAGGGAAUAUUGGACGAUGGACGAAAGCCUGAUCCAGCCAUGCCGCGUUUGUGAAGAAGGUCUUCGGAUUGUAAAGCACUUUAGGUUGGGAGGCGUUACCGACAGAAUAAGCACCGGCUAACUCUGUGCCAGCAGCCGCGGUAAUUC
rnacentral:rRNA from 1 species